UCGCUCCUCUCCAGAGGACCACGACUCUGCUCGCACUCACCGCGCUCUUCUCACCUCGAACCCCGCAGAGCGCCUGUCGUUCUCCCCGCUGUCUCCCGAUGAAGGAAGCCGACGCGAUCAAGCUGUUCGUGGGGCAGAUUCCUCGGAAUCUAGAGGAGAAGGACCUCAAACCGAUCUUUGAACAGUUCGGGAAGAUCUACGAGCUGACGGUGAUAAAGGACAAAUACACCGGCAUGCACAAAGGAUGUGCAUUCCUGACAUACUGUGCGAGGGAGUCAGCGCUGAAGGCCCAGAGUGCUUUGCAUGAGCAGAAGACGCUACCGGGGAUGAACCGACCCAUCCAGGUAAAACCAGCCGACAGCGAGGGGAGAGGAGAAGACAGGAAGUUGUUUGUGGGCAUGCUGGGUAAACAGCAGAGUGAUGAAGACGUCAAGAGGCUGUUUGAGCCCUUUGGCACUAUAGACGAGUGUACUGUACUACGGGGGCCAGACGGCACCAGUAAAGGUUGUGCGUUUGUGAAGUACCAGGGACAUGCUGAAGCUCAGGCUGCGAUUAGCACCCUGCAUGGGAGCCGCACACUGCCUGGUGCGUCGUCCAGUCUGGUGGUGAAGUUUGCCGACACAGAGAAGGAGAGAGGGCUGAGACGGAUGCAGCAGGUGGCAUCACAGCUGGGCAUCUUCAGCCCCACCAUGACACUUAACUUCCCUGCUUACAACGCUUACACACAGGCCGUCAGCGCACAGGCGAUUGUCCAGCAACAAGCUCUGGUUGCUCAGUCAGCGUACCUGUCUCCUGUAGCAACUGUUGCCAGUUUACAAAUGCAGCAGAUGGCUGCGCUCAACGCAAACGGAAUCAUCGCCACGCCCAUCACAUCUUCCUCUGAGUCUAGUAGCUGUCAAUCACAAUAUCUCCUCCACUGUGAUUGGUCCUCCCGGUUUGCAGGUACGAAUACCCCUCCAACCAUCUCAGCCACGCCCGUGCCAUCACUACCUCCACCUCUAGGAGUCAAUGGUUACAGUCCACCAACCAAUGGACAACAAGCAUCAGAAGCACUAUACACCAAUGGCAUUCAUGCGUACCAAGCCCAGAGUCCAGCAUUAUCUCUAGAUCCUCUCCAGCAGGCGUAUGCAGGCAUGCAGCACUACACAGCGGCGUACCCUGCUGCCUAUGGAUUGGUCGGCCAGCAUUUUCCACAGCAACCUACCCUGGUUGCCCAGCAACACCAGCAGCCCCAGCAACAGCAGCAGCGAGAAGGGCCGGAGGGUUGUAAUAUCUUUAUCUACCACCUGCCUCAGGAGUUCAGUGACAGUGAGAUGCUCCAGAUGUUUCUGCCCUUUGGAAACGUCAUCUCAGCUAAAGUCUUUGUAGACCGCGCCACCAACCAGAGCAAGUGCUUCGGUUUUGUGAGUUUUGACAACCCAUCCAGUGCCCAGACUGCCAUCCAGGCUAUGAAUGGGUUCCAGAUCGGCAUGAAGAGACUCAAGGUGCAGCUGAAACGACCUAAAGACGCCAACCGCCCCUACUGAAGGAGAGAGGAGAGAGAUCCUCCCGUCCAAUCAUAAUUCGCGGGGAUCCCAUCACUAUGGUUACCUAGCGACCGAUAAAGCCCCGACCCCCCUUCCUCUCACGUGUUGUGAAGUUUUCAGACUCCGGCCGUGGUGGAAUCCCAGCGUGCAUUGCGCCCUCAGACCUACUACCUUUGUUUUGAGCGACGGGGAACAGCACACAUACACACACACACACACACAUACACACACACACAUUGCACUCUAAAAGGACCAAGGCACAGAUAUUGACCAAUGUACAUAUUAUAGUCCUCACACACACAAACACUGACAUACUUUCAAAUACAUAUAUGUCAGUAAUCGUACCCAUUGUACUGGACUCAGUUUGAAAAUGGUUUGUGAGGAGUUUGUCUGGAGUGUGUAGGGCAGUGAAGAUCACAUACAUACACGACCCAGGAAGUACUUACUAAAGUCAUUGAUGAGAUGAUGAAUAAUGGUGAUAUAUCACUUCUUUGGACCAUAACAUGUCAUAUUACAUGGCUAUUACAUGUGUAUAACAUGAUACAAAUAGGAAGGCCUCCAUUUCGUAAUAAAAAAAGGAAAACAGGAAAAAAUAUUGAGACAAAAAUGAGUAAUUUAGAGAAACUUUGGAGAGAGAUCCUUAUGGCCUGUAAAUAAUUUAGUUUAAGAAGAGUAACAU